rnacentral:rRNA from 1 species
UCCUACGGGAGGCAGCAGUGGGGAAUUUUCCGCAAUGGGCGCAAGCCUGACGGAGCAAUACCGCGUGAGGGAGGAAGGCUUUUGGGUUGUAAACCUCUUUUUUCAAGGAAGAAGCAAGUGACGGUACUUGAAGAAUCAGCAUCGGCUAACUCCGUGCCAGCAGCCGCGGUAAUACGGAGGAUGCAAGCGUUAUCCGGAAUCAUUGGGCGUAAAGGGUCCGCAGGUGGCUUAUCAAGUCUGCUGUCAAAGACGGAAGCUCAACUUCUGAAAGGCAGUGGAAACUGGUAGACUAGAGUACGGUAGGGGUUGAGGGAAUUCCCAGUGUAGCGGUGAAAUGCGUAGAUAUUGGGAAGAACACCAGUGGCGAAGGCGCUCAACUGGGCCGUAACUGACACUCAGGGACGAAAGCUAGGGGAGCGAAAGGGAUUAGAUACCCCUGUAGUCCUAGCUGUAAACGAUGAACACUAGGCGUUGCUUGUAUCGACCCGAGCAGUGCCGUAGCCAACGCGUUAAGUGUUCCGCCUGGGGAGUACGCACGCAAGUGUGAAACUCAAAUGAAUUGACGG